GACGAACGCUGGCGGCGUGCUUAACACAUGCAAGUCGAACGGAAAGGCCCUGCUUUUGUGGGGUGCUCGAGUGGCGAACGGGUGAGUAACACGUGAGUAACCUGCCCUUGACUUUGGGAUAACUUCAGGAAACUGAGGCUAAUACCGGAUAGGAGCUCCUGCUGCAUGGUGGGGGUUGGAAAGUUUCGGCGGUUGGGGAUGGACUCGCGGCUUAUCAGCUUGUUGGUGGGGUAGUGGCUUACCAAGGCUUUGACGGGUAGCCGGCCUGAGAGGGUGACCGGCCACAUUGGGACUGAGAUACGGCCCAGACUCUUACGGGAGGCAGCAGUGGGGAAUAUGGCACAAUGGGCGGAAGCCUGAUGCAGCAACGCCGCGUGCGGGAUGACGGCCUUCGGGUUGUAAACCGCUUUCGCCUGUGACGAAGCGUGAGUGACGGUAAUGGGUAAAGAAGCACCGGCUAACUACGU
rnacentral:rRNA from 1 species